rnacentral:rRNA from 1 species
UACGGGGGGGGCAAGCGUUGUUCGGAAUUACUGGGCGUAAAGCGCACGUAGGCGGCUUUGCAAGUCAGAGGUGAAAGCCCGGGGCUCAACCCCGGAAUAGCCUUUGAGACUGCAUCGCUAGAAUUGUGGAGAGGUAAGUGGAAUUCCGAGUGUAGAGGUGAAAUUCGUAGAUAUUCGGAAGAACACCAGUGGCGAAGGCGACUUACUGGACACAUAUUGACGCUGAGGUGCGAAAGCGUGGGGAGCAAACAGG